rnacentral:rRNA from 1 species
CAUGCAGUCGAACGGUAACAUUGGUGCUUGCACCAGAUGACGAGUGGCGCACGGGUGCGUAACGCGUAUGCAAUCUACCUUUUACUAGAGUAUAGCCCAGAGAAAUUUGGAUUAAUCCUCUAUAAUAUCUUUUAAUUUCAUGAUUUUAAGAUUAAAGUUUUAACGGUAAAAGAUGAGCAUGCGUCCUAUUAGUUUGUAGGUGAGGUAACGGCUCACCUAGACUACGAUAGGUAGGGGCCCUGAGAGGGGGAUCCCCCACACUGGUACUGAGACACGGACCAGACUCCUACGGGAGGCAGUAGUAAGGAAUAUUGGACAAUGGACGAAAGUCUGAUCCAGCCAUGCCGCGUGCAGGAUGAAAGCCCUACGGGUUGUAAACUGCUUUUAUACAGGAAGAAACACUCCGACGUGUCGGAGCUUGACGGUACUGUAAGAAUAAGGAUCGGCUAACUCCGUGCCAGCAGCCGCGGUAAUACGGAGGAUCCAAGCGUUAUCCGGAAUCAUUGGGUUUAAAGGGUCCGCAGGCUGUUUUUUAAGUCAGAGGUGAAAUCCUACAGCUCAACUGUAGAACUGCCUUUGAUACUGAAAAACUUGAGUUAUUGUGAAGUGGUUAGAAUGUGUGGUGUAGCGGUGAAAUGCAUAGAUAUCACACAGAAUACCGAUUGCGAAGGCAGAUCACUAACAAUAUACUGACGCUCAUGGACGAAAGCGUGGGGGAGCGAACAGGAUUAGAUACCCUGGUAGUCCACGCCGUAAACGAUGGAUACUAGCUGUUCGUCUAACAUUGGUUAGAUGAGUGGCUAAGCGAAAGUGAUAAGUAUCCCACCUGGGGAGUACGGUCGCAAGACUGAAACUCAAAGGAAUUGACGGGGGCCCGCACAAGCGUGGAGCAUGUGGUUUAAUUCGAUGAUACGCGAGGAACCUUA